CAAUGGAUCUGCUUUGCAACA
rnacentral:miRNA from 1 species